GAGGAAAAGAAACUAACAAGGAUUCCCCUAGUAACGGCGAGUGAAGAGGGAAGAGCUCAAAUUUUGAAUCUGGCGUCUUCGACGUCCGAGUUGUAAUCUAGAGAAGUGUUUUCUGUGAUGGACUGUGCAUAAGUCUCCUGGAAUGGAGUGUCAUAGAGGGUGAGAAUCCCGUAUAUGGCACGGACUCCCAUUGCUCUGUGAUACACUCUCGACGAGUCGAGUUGUUUGGGAAUGCAGCUCCAAAUGGGUGGUAAAUGCCAUCUAAAGCUAAAUAUUGGCGAGAGACCGAUAGUGAACAAGUACCGUGAGGGAAAGAUGAAAAGCACUUUGGAAAGAGAGUGAAACAGUACGUGAAAUUGUUGAAAGGGAAACGCUUGAAGUCAGUCGCACCGUUUGGGAUUCAGCCUUGCUUCUGCUUGGUGUACUUCCCAUUGGGUGGGUCAACAUCAGUUUUGGUUGGAGGAAAAAGGCUUGGGGAAGGUAGCAGCCUUUGUGCUGUGUUUAUASCCCCCUGUUUAUACUUCGACUGGGACUGAGGACUGCAGCAUGCCUCAUGGCUGGGGUUUGCCCACAUACAUGCUUAGGAUGUUGC
rnacentral:rRNA from 1 species